GAAUGCGUAGCUCAGCGGGUAGAGCAUCUGCCUUUUAAGCAGAGGGUCGCAGGUUCGAGCCCUGCCGCAUUCACCA
rnacentral:tRNA from 1 species